rnacentral:rRNA from 1 species
AGAGUUUGAUCCUGGCUCAGGAUGAACGCUGGCGGCGUGCUUAACACAUGCAAGUCGAACGAACCUUCGGGUUAGUGGCGGACGGGUGAGUAACGCGUGUGAAUCUGCCCUCAGGAGGGGGAUAACGGCUGGAAACGGCCGCUAAUACCCCAUAUGCCGAGAGGUGAAAUGAAUUUCGCCUGAGGGAGCUCGCGUCUGAUUAGCUAGUUGGUGUGGUAAAGGCUCACCAAGGCAUCGAUCAGUAGCUGGUCUGAGAGGAUGAUCAGCCACACUGGGACUGAGACACGGCCCAGACUCCUACGGGAGGCAGCAGUGGGGAAUUUUCCGCAAUGGGCGCAAGCCUGACGGAGCAACGCCGCGUGAGGGAUGAAGGCCUCUGGGCUGUAAACCUCUUUUAUCAAGGAAGAAGAUCUGACGGUACUUGAUGAAUAAGCCACGGCUAAUUCCGUGCCAGCAGCCGCGGUAAUACGGGAGUGGCAAGCGUUAUCCGGAAUUAUUGGGCGUAAAGCGUCCGCAGGCGAUCUUGAAAGUCUGUUGUUAAAGCGUGGAGCUCAACUCCAUUUCAGCAAUGGAAACUAGAAGACUAGAGUGUGGUAGGGGCAGAGGGAAUUCCCGGUGUAGCGGUGAAAUGCGUAGAUAUCGGGAAGAACACCAGUGGCGAAGGCGCUCUGCUGGGCCAUAACUGACGCUCAUGGACGAAAGCCAGGGGAGCGAAAGGGAUUAGAUACCCCUGUAGUCCUGGCCGUAAACGAUGAACACUAGGUGUCGGGGGAAUCGACCCCCUCGGUGUCGUAGCCAACGCGUUAAGUGUUCCGCCUGGGGAGUACGCACGCAAGUGUGAAACUCAAAGGAAUUGACGGGGGCCCGCACAAGCGGUGGAGUAUGUGGUUUAAUUCGAUGCAACGCGAAGAACCUUACCAGGGUUUGACAUCCUGCGAAUCCCUUGGAAACUUGGGAGUGCCUUCGGGAGCGCAGUGACAGGUGGUGCAUGGCUGUCGUCAGCUCGUGUCGUGAGAUGUUGGGUUAAGUCCCGCAACGAGCGCAACCCACGUCUUUAGUUGCCAGCAUUAAGUUGGGCACUCUAGAGAGACUGCCGGUGAUAAACCGGAGGAAGGUGUGGAUGACGUCAAGUCAUCAUGCCCCUUACAUCCUGGGCUACACACGUACUACAAUGCUACGGACAAAGGGCAGCAAACUCGCGAGAGCUAGCAAAUCCCAUAAACCGUGGCUCAGUUCAGAUCGUAGGCUGCAACUCGCCUACGUGAAGGAGGAAUCGCUAGUAAUCGCAGGUCAGCAUACUGCGGUGAAUACGUUCCCGGGCCUUGUACACACCGCCCGUCACACCAUGGAAGUUGGCCACGCCCGGAGUCGUUACUCCAACCCGCAAGGGAGGAGGAUGCCGAAGGUGGGGCUGAUGACUGGGGUGAAGUCGUAACAAGGUA